UACGUAGGGUGCGAGCGUUGUCCGGAAUUAUUGGGCGUAAAGAGCUUGUAGGUGGUUUGUCGCGUCUGCUGUGAAAAUCCGGGGCUCAACCCCGGACUUGCAGUGGGUACGGGCAGACUAGAGUGUGGUAGGGGAGACUGGAAUUCCUGGUGUAGCGGUGGAAUGCGCAGAUAUCAGGAGGAACACCGAUGGCGAAGGCAGGUCUCUGGGCAAUAACUGACGCUGAGGAGCGAAAGCGUGGGGAGCGAACAGG
rnacentral:rRNA from 1 species